UACGAGGGAGUGCCAGUUGUUCGGCGAUUGACUGGGCGUAAAGCGCACGCAGGCGGUUGCGCGCGUGGGGUGUGAAAUCUGGCCGCUUAACGGCCAGGCGCCAUCCCAUACGGCGCGACUGGAGUGAUGCAGAGGUCGAUGGAAUUGCCGGUGUAGUGGUGAAAUGCGUAGAGAUCGGCAGGAACACCGGUGGCGAAGGCGGUUCUCUGGGCCUUACCUGACACUGAGGAGCGAAAGCGUGGGGAGCGAACAGG
rnacentral:rRNA from 1 species